GGAGGACGAAGAGGCUGCACGCACAGCCGCUGCCGGGGGUCGGGGCCAAGUGCGCGCCUCGCCGAGGACGAAGAGGCUGGCGUGCCCGGUGGCUCGGCUAGCUCCCGGGUCCCGGCCCCGCCUGGAGGAUGGAGUUCCUCUCUUGUGGCCCAGGCUGGAGUGCAAUAGCACCAUCUCGGCUCACUGCAACCUCUGCCUCCCAGGUUCAAGUGAUUCUCCUGCCUUAGCCUCCUGAGUAGCUAGGAUUACAGGUA
rnacentral:lncRNA from 10 species